AUAACGUUCAGCAGUUUACGGUGUGCUACAGCUGGUGCUCACCUUCUGUAGGCCUCAGCAAGAGGACGGUAUGUUCCGACAUCACGUUGAGAGCCUCCCCAUCCGGCGACAUCUCAACGUGCCACAUGCUAUUUCUCGCUUUUUAAAUACUUCACUCGUUGUUUAGCAAAAGGAGGCUAUUUCUGAUGUGGUCAGACUAUUGGCAUAUGGACUACAACGUUAUCGGCAGCUGGCAGGACUGUUCUUUUAGGGACAGCUGUGUUACAAGAAUCACCUUUCUCACCAUGGAUCACGGUAUUUGCAGUCUGAUCAGUUCCGCUAUUGUCCAUAACUGCUACA